rnacentral:rRNA from 1 species
UUUUGUAUGGGAAGAACAGCUAGAAUAGGAAAUGAUUUUUAGUUGGACGGUACCAUACCAGAAAGGGACGGCUAAAUACGUGCCAGCAGCCGCGGUAAUACGUAUGUCCCGAGCGUUAUCCGGAUUUAUUGGGCGUAAAGCGAGCGCAGACGGUUUAUUAAGUCUGAUGUGAAAGCCCGGAGCUCAACUCCGGAAUGGCAUUGGAAACUGGUUAACUUGAGUGCAGUAGAGGUAAGUGGAACUCCAUGUGUAGCGGUGGAAUGCGUAGAUAUAUGGAAGAACACCAGUGGCGAAGGCGGCUUACUGGACUGCAACUGACGUUGAGGCUCGAAAGUGUGGGUAGCAAACAGGAUUAGAUACCCUGGUAGUCCACACCGUAAACGAUGAACACUAGGUGUUAGGAGGUUUCCGCCUCUUAGUGCCGAAGCUAACGCAUUAAGUGUUCCGCCUGGGGAGUACGACCGCAAGGUUGAAACUCAAAGGAAUUGACGGGGACCCGCACAAGCGGUGGAGCAUGUGGUUUAAUUCGAAGCAACGCGAAGAACCUUACCAGGUCUUGACAUCCUUUGAAGCUUUUAGAGAUAGAAGUGUUCUCUUCGGAGACAAAGUGACAGGUGGUGCAUGGUCGUCGUCAGCUCGUGUCGUGAGAUGUUGGGUUAAGUCCCGCAACGAGCGCAACCCUUAUUGUUAGUUGCCAGCAUUCAGAUGGGCACUCUAGCGAGACUGCCGGUGACAAACCGGAGGAAGGCGGGGACGACGUCAGAUCAUCAUGCCCCUUAUGACCUGGGCUACACACGUGCUACAAUGGCGUAUACAACGAGUUGCCAGCCCGCGAGGGUGAGCUAAUCUCUUAAAGUACGUCUCAGUUCGGAUUGUAGUCUGCAACUCGACUACAUGAAGUCGGAAUCGCUAGUAAUCGCGGAUCAGCACGCCGCGGUGAAUACGUUCCCGGGUCUUGUACACACCGCCCGUCACACCAUGGGAGUUUGUAAUGCCCAAAGCCGGUGGCCUAACCUUUUAGGAAGGAGCCGUCUAAGCAGACAGUGCGAG